GACGAACGCUGGCGGCGUGCUUAACACAUGCAAGUCGAACGGAAAUGCCCUGCUUUUGUGGGGGGCUCGAGUUGCGAACGGGUUAGUAAACCGUUAGUUACCUUCCCUUUACUUUCUGAUUACUUCAUUAAACUGGGGCUUAUUCCGGAUUGUUGCUCCUGCUGCAUGGUGGGUGUUUGAGAGUUUCGGCGGUUUGGGAUGGAUUCGCGGCUUAUCAGCUUGUUGGUUGGGUAGUGGCUUACCAAGGCUUUGACGGGUAGCCGGCCUGAGAGGGUGACCGGCCACAUUGGGACUGAGAUACGGCCCAGACUCCUACGGGAGGCAGCAGUGGGGAAAAUUGUAAAAUGGGCGGAAGCCUGAUGCGGCAACGCCGCGUGCGGGAUGAAGGCCUUCGGGUUGUAAACCGCUUUCGCCUGUGACGAAGCGUGAGUGACGGUAAUGGGUAAAGAAGCACCGGCUAACUACGUG
rnacentral:rRNA from 1 species